rnacentral:rRNA from 1 species
GACGAACCGUGCGAACGUUAUUCGGAAUCACUGGGCUUAAAGCGCGUGUAGGCGGGCCGGCACGUCGGUGCUGAAAGCCCCCGGCUCAACCGGGGAACAGGCGCCGAGACGACCGGCCUGGAGGGGCGUAGGGGGACCGGGAACUUCCGGUGGAGCGGUGAAAUGCGUUGAGAUCGGAAGGAACGCCCGUGGCGAAAGCGCGGUCCUGGACGCCUGCUGACGCUGAGACGCGAAAGCCAGGGGAGCGAACGGG